GAUGAACGCUGGCGGCGUGCCUAAUACAUGCAAGUCGAGCGAACAGACGAGGAGCUUGCUCCUCUGAUGUUAGCGGCGGACGGGUGAGUAACACGUGGAUAACCUACCUAUAAGACUGGGAUAACUUCGGGAAACCGGAGCUAAUACCGGAUAACAUAUUGAACCGCAUGGUUCAACAGUGAAAGACGGUCUUGCUGUCACUUAUAGAUGGAUCCGCGCCGCAUUAGCUAGUUGGUAAGGUAACGGCUUACCAAGGCAACGAUGCGUAGCCGACCUGAGAGGGUGAUCGGCCACACUGGAACUGAGACACGGUCCAGACUCCUACGGGAGGCAGCAGUAGGGAAUCUUCCGCAAAGGGCGAAAGCCUGACGGAGCAACGCCGCGUGAGUGAAGAAGGUCUUCGGAUCGUAAAACUCUGUUAUUAGGGAAGAACAAAUGUGUAAGUAACUAUGCACGUCUUGACGGUACCUAAUCAGAAAGCCACGGCUAACUACGUG
rnacentral:rRNA from 1 species